GACACACCUAAAGCAGCCUGUAGGUAAUGGGCAGGAGUGACCAGGGCCAAAAGCCACAGCAGAACAAGCAGGCUGAAUGGGGUGAAGGCGAACGCUGUCCUUGCAACCCCCUGCACAGCAGUGAUUAGCAACUAGGCCAGCUGCCUGAACUCCCGGCUUUGGCCCCCGAGCUCUGCUGCUCUGCUGGGUUGCAGUGCAGGGACACGGACGGGAAGCUCAGACUCGGCCUGAGGGGCACUGCCCUCUGCUGGAAGGUGGGCGCAGCUGGAAGAGGAGGCAUCCUUGGGUGUCUGUGGAGCACGGUGAGAAGCGCCCACCCUCGUGGCAAGCGCAGCAGUGUCCGAGUCAUGGGGCACUAGAGUGAUGAAUUUUGGGGUCUGCCUUUACCCCUCCCACCUCACAUCCACCAUGGGACUCAGCCAGCCUGUUCCACUGCUGGCAUCUUCCCACCUCAGCUCAGCUGAGCACAGCUUCUGGACCCCACAGCUGGGAACCAGCCUUCUUGUCACCCAGACCAGGUGAUGGGAGCCUGAGGACAGGCUGGAGUGGGCGCGUCCCGCACACUGCAGGCACGUGUGCAGCUGAGAGAAUGCAAGGGCUGUGUGUGGUGGAGAGGCCCAGGUGCAAGACAGGAGGCCAGAGGCUGGGGUGGGCGAGGCAGAGGAAGGGCUUCCUUCUCGCGGUCACCUUCACCGAACCCAGAACCAUGCCAUCACUCUGCAGCUCUCCUGCCCUGGUCAGCCCUCCCUUCUCCGUGAAACACCGUGGCUUGGCCUCGUCGGGGCUCAGCGCCCCAGCCCCACACCCAGGCAGCACCAGCCGCCACCACUGCGCUCACACUGACCCCGGUGCACACAGACCCAUCCUCCUCCCACUGUGUGUUUAGGUUCCCAGCCCCCCACCUGCCACGGGGGCUCUGUGGCCCCGUCCCUUCCUUUACCACCUGUCUCAGGAAGGCAGCUCCAACUCUGCUCUCUGCUUAGUGAGCAAGUGGAUUCAGAUGCACAGAGCCAUAAGCCAUGGAUGCGCUGGCUCCCUCCCUCUGAAGCGACUUCUCAGGGCUGGAAGUCCCGUCAGUUCUGCUGAAUACUAUGUCCCAGAUGUGUGAUGG